GUGGUGCAUGGCCGUUCUUAGUUGGUGGAGUGAUUUGUCUGGUUAAUUCCGUUAACGAACGAGACCCCCGCCUGCUAAAUAGUCGCGGGAAUGCUCUGCAUUGCCGUUUUGGCUUCUUAGAGGGACUGUGUGAGACUAUCACACGGAAGUUGGGGGCAAUAACAGGUCUGUGAUGCCCUUAGAUGUCCUGGGCCGCACGCGCGCUACACUGAUGCGUGCAACGAGUUUAGAACCUUGGCCGGGAGGCCUGGGUAAUCUGUGAACGCGCAUCGUGAUAGGGAUAGAUUAUUGCAAUUAUUAAUCUUGAACGAGGAAUUCCUAGUAAACGCAAGUCAUCAGCUUGCAUUGAUUACGUCCCUGCCCUUUGUACACACCGCCCGUCGCACCUACCGAUCGAAGGUAAUGAUGAGCCCUCAGGACAGUUGUUCGUGGCCUUCACGGGCUGCUUACGGUUGAAAUUUGUGCAAUCUCCCUUAAGAAGGAAAAAUAAACAAACCCCC
rnacentral:rRNA from 1 species